GCCAGUGCAGUGUAGUGGUUUGGGUGCUGGACUAGGACUCUGGAACCAGAGUUCAAAUCUCUGCUCAGCCA